GGUGUAGGCAAGGAGCUUAUUUCAGUCGGGGAUAUGCAUAUCAGUGGGGUUGUGAACGUGGGUGGAUUCAUGGAGUAUUUGACUCUGCAGAAUACUCGGUUAGCAUUUGUGAUGGAAUUGGCGGAGUUGAUUGCAGAAGCAAUAGAGGCUGUCAUCAUUCAGAGAGGUACUGACAGAAAAGUUGCUGUGGGUAUUGACGUAGAGUAGAAGAUAUGUUAUACUACGACUAGUUGAUGGGGGCGCACAACUGCAAGUAAGAGAUUUGGGUGUAAUUUUGUUGGGGCAUAGCGCAAUUUGGCAGCGCACUUGGCUUGGGACCAAGGGAUUGAGAGUUCGAGUCUCUCUGCUCCA
rnacentral:tRNA from 1 species